rnacentral:rRNA from 1 species
CAGUAGCCGCGGUAAUACGUAGGUGGCAAGCGUUGUCCGGAAUUAUUGGGCGUAAAGGGCUCGCAGGCGGUUUCUUAAGUCUGAUGUGAAAGCCCCCGGCUCAACCGGGGAGGGUCACUGGAAACUGGGAAACUUGAGUGCAGAAGAGGAGAGUGGAAUUCCACGUGUAGCGGUGAAAUGCGUAGAGAUGUGGAGGAACACCAGUGGCGAAGGCGACUCUCUGGUCUGUAACUGACGCGGAGGAGCGAAAGCGUGGGGAGCGAACAGGAUUAGAUACCCCAGUAGUCCCUGUCUCUUAUAC